CUCCUUCUAAUGCUCUUUUGUUUGUCUUUUGCAGUGUGACAUCUGGUCGCUGGGUAUAACCGCCAUCGAAAUGGCCGAGGGACAAGAACCUUACGCAGGGCAAUACCCAGUGGAGCACCUGAUCAGAGAAGCCCAACCACCGAAGCUUCGAUCAAAGACCUGGUCACAAAGAUUUGUGUCUUUUCUGGAGUCCUGUUUGAAGAAGGAUCCUUCUGAGAGAGGGAGUGCCGAAGAACUCCUGCAGCACCCA